rnacentral:misc_RNA from 1 species
GAUGAAGAACGCAGCGAAUCGCGAUACGUAAUGUGAAUUGCAGAAUUCAGUGAAUCAUCGAAUCUUUGAACGCACAUUGCGCCCUUUGGUAUUCCAAAGGGCAUGCCUGUUCGAGCGUCAUUUGUACCCUCAAGCUUUGCUUGGUGUUGGGCGUCUUGUCUCUAGCUUUGCUGGAGACUCGCCUUAAAGUAAUUGGCAGCCGGCCUACUGGUUUCGGAGCGCAGCACAAGUCGCACUCUCUAUCAGCAAAGGUCUAGCAUCCAUUAAGCCUUUUUUUCAACUUUUGACCUCGGAUCAGGUAGGGAUACCCGCUGAACUUAAGCAUAUCAAUAAGCGGAGGA